rnacentral:rRNA from 1 species
CCUACGGGAGGCAGCAGUGGGGAAUAUUGGGCAAUGGGCGCAAGCCUGACCCAGCAACGCCGCGUGAAGGAAGAAGGCUCUCGGGUUGUAAACUUCUUUUAUCAGGGACGAAGCAAGUGACGGUACCUGAUGAAUAAGCCACGGCUAACUACGUGCCAGCAGCCGCGGUAAUACGUAGGUGGCAAGCGUUAUCCGGAUUUACUGGGUGUAAAGGGCGUGUAGGCGGGAAAGCAAGUCAGAUGUGAAAACCAUGGGCUCAACCUGUGGCCUGCAUUUGAAACUGUUUUUCUUGAGUACUGGAGAGGCAGACGGAAUUCCUAGUGUAGCGGUGAAAUGCGUAGAUAUUAGGAGGAACACCAGUGGCGAAGGCGACUAUCUGGAACAUAACUGACGCUGAGGAGCGAAAGCGUGGGUAGCAAACAGGAUUAGAUACCCGAGUAGUC